ACAUGCCUACAACAUAGUGUUAAUGCACCAGAUCCCAUUAUAACUCUACUGUUAAGCGCACUCGGGCUAGAGUAGUAUUGGGAUGGGUCACCAUCUGGGAAGUCCUAGUAUUUUACAUGCC
rnacentral:rRNA from 1 species